GGACAUGGAUUCGUUUCGUGGCAAAGAGGAAGGUAUGAAUAACCCAGAGGGCAGACACUUGUGAGCCUCUGGUGGGCUGCCCAGAGUGCCUGUCUACAUGCCCAGGAAUCAAGCCUCACAUACAAAGACUGUUGAUGCUUACGGUCAAAUUCACUUCUGCCAAGGAAUGGAAACAACCGACAGAGGGGACAUUGCUCUAUCUACAUGAAGCCACAGCGACAAACACGUAGGAUCUGAACAUGAGGAGACAGGAUGUCUUACACCUUUCAUGGAGACCCUUCUGAACCAUCAGAUGCUAUUCCUACCUUACAAGAGAAGGAAGGAAGGAAGUGGAAAGACUAAGUCCGUUCAUGCACACUGGGGCAGGGCCACCUCCUUUGGAAUCCUUCUUCUGUCACCUAUGGGCUGGGUGACCUUGGGCAGGGCACAGAACCAGUCUAAGCCUUCCAAUCUCAUAAGAUUAAGAUGAUAAUGGUCUAUUUGGGAAGGCUGUUGUGCAGCUUAUUCUGGGUAGAGCCCACAACCCAGGGUCUAGCAUACAGUACACUCUCAAAGCAGAUUAGCAACUCAUUUCUAGACUUCGAUCGAUACUGUAGUGCCAUAACACUCAGUCUGACCUCAACCAGAUCCUACCAAUCCAAGGCUCCCCACAAAGGUCCCUAUAUACAGAAGUUCACGAGGGGUUGGUUACUCCUAAGUAACAAUCAGAUUCCCAGAAGUUAUCUGUGAUCAAAUCUUGCCAGAAAGAGAGAGACUUCGUUAACGCUACUUAAAAAUGUUUAAAUGUUAAACACUAUGUGAGCAGUAUUUUAAGUAGUUAUAUUUUAGGUAGAGUUUGAUAGCUUUAAUGUUUAUAGAAAAAGAUGAAGUUUCAUUGUGUUUUAUUUUAUUUUUUUGCAAAUGCAUUUUAAGAGCCAUUAACGCCUACAGUGACCUCAGAUGGCAACAGGAAACACGAAAGGGACACCGGCCAGCUAUCAAAGAUAAACUGAAAGAGAGGAAGAAUCACACGUUAGAUUAGUCCCUAUGGGGUCAGUUAAAGUCAGUGCUGAGAUGGUUUGCCUGCUAAAAAAAUAACAGAACAAUCUAUCUUUAUGUGUAUUCAUCAGGGUGAAGUCCCCAGGCAUUUUCCCUCAUUGAUAAGAAAUGAUCUUAUUCCCAGAGCAUAACAUCACUAAAGCCCUCUUUAAGGACCCAUCUGAGAGAGGAGCACUCUGGGUAGGAAUGACACCAGCACUGAAAAACUAGUUAAAACCAUUGGUGGGGAUACUAGAAUUUGAGUAGAAGAUUCAGUCAGGGGAUCCGGGCAUGCAUCUUGGGACCUAUGGGUUAACUGACCCCUUACAUCUCAGCAGAGCCGUGGUUCUUAAUGGGGACGAUUUUGCCCUUGAUGGGAAACCUACUAAUGUCUGGAGAUGUUUUUGGCUGUCACAACUGGAGGCACUGAUGAUUCUGGCAUCUAGUGAGCAGAGGCCAGAGACGCUGCUAAUUAUCCUGCAAUGCACAGGGCAGGUCCUGUGACAACAAUCUGCCGAAAAUGUCAAUAGUGCCAAGACUGAGCAACCCUGCAUUACACGAAGACAGAAAAAAGGGGGCCAUUCAUGGACAGACUGUGUCACGGGCUGUCACUAAGAGAUGUUGUGCAGUCUAGUUUGUGGAUGUCAUUUAUGUCGUUUGUCCCAAGUGCACAGCUGGGCCUAUCAUGAAAGCCACAUGAUAUCCUUAAACUAAUUUAGAAGACACCUGGUUGAUAAAGCUUUAAAAAUA